GACGAACGCUGGCGGCGUGCUUAACACAUGCAAGUCGAACGAAGUGGCGAACGGGUGAGUAACGCGUAAUCAACCUGCCCUUCAGAGGGGGACAACAGUUGGAAACGACUGCUAAUACCGCAUACUGAAGGAGGGGAUUGCGUCUGAUUGGCUGGUUGGAGGGGUAACGGCCCACCAAGGCGAUGAUCAGUAGCCGGGAUGAGAGGAUGAACGGGCACAUUGGGAAUUGGACACGGGCCAGAACUCCACGGGAGGCAGCCGGUGGGAAUCUUCCGACAUUGACGAAAAUCUGAAGGAGCAACGCCGCGUGGGUGAUGACGGCCUUCGGGGUGUAAAGCUCUGUUAAUCGGGACGCGGUACCGGAAUAGAAAGCCACGGCUAACUACGUGCCAGCAGCCGCGGUAAUUC
rnacentral:rRNA from 1 species